rnacentral:rRNA from 1 species
AGUGAACGCUGGCGGUAGGCCUAACACAUGCAAGUCGAACGGCAGCACAGUAAGAGCUUGCUCUUACGGGUGGCGAGUGGCGGACGGGUGAGGAAUACAUCGGAAUCUACUUUUUCGUGGGGGAUAACGUAGGGAAACUUACGCUAAUACCGCAUACGACCUACGGGUGAAAGCAGGGGAUCUUCGGACCUUGCGCGAUUGAAUGAGCCGAUGUCGGAUUAGCUAGUUGGCGGGGUAAAGGCCCACCAAGGCGACGAUCCGUAGCUGGUCUGAGAGGAUGAUCAGCCACACUGGAAGUGAGACACGGUCCAGACUCCUACGGGAGGCCGCAGUGGGGAAUAUUGGACAAUGGGCGCAAGCCUGAUCCAGCCAUACCGCGUGGGUGAAGAAGGCCUUCGGGUUGUAAAGCCCUUUUGUUGGGAAAGAAAAGCAGCAGGUUAAUACCCCGCUGUUCUGACGGUACCCAAAGAAUAAGCACCGGCUAACUUCGUG